GACGAACGCUGGCGGCGUGCUUAACACAUGCAAGUCGAACGGAAAGGCCCUGCUUUUGUGGGGUGCUCGAGUGGCGAACGGGUGAGUAACACGUGAGUAACCUGCCCUUGACUUUGGGAUAACUUCAGGAAACUGGGGCUAAUACCGGAUAGGAGCUCCUGCUGCAUGGUGGGGGUUGGAAAGUUUCGGCGGUUGGGGAUGGACUCGCGGCUUAUCAGCUUGUUGGUGGGGUAGUGGCUUACGAAGGCUUUGACGGGUAGCCGGCCUGAGCGGGUGACCGGCCACAUUGGGACUGAGAUACGGCCCAGACUCCUACGGGAGGCAGCAGUGGGGAAUAUUGCACAAUGGGCGGAAGCCUGAUGCAGCAACGCCGCGUGCGGGAUGACGGCCUUCGGGUUGUAAACCGCUUUCGCCUGUGACGAAGCGUGAGUGACGGUAAUGGGUAAAGAAGCACCGGCUAACUACGUG
rnacentral:rRNA from 1 species